AUCGAACGCUGGCGGCAGGCCUAAUACAUGCAAGUCGAGCGGAGCGGCGGAAGAGUGAGUAAUGCCUAGGAAUUUGCCCGUUAGUGAGGGACAACGUCCGGAAACGGGCGCCAAUACCGCAUACUAUAAGAUGAGCUUAGGUCGUCUUAGGUAGGUGGUGGGGUAAAGGCUUACCAAGGCGACGAUCCGUAACUGGUCUGAGGGGAUGAUCAGUCACACUGGAACUGAGACACGGUCCAGACUCCUACGGGAGGCAGCAGUAGGGAAUAUUGCACAAUGGGCGCAAGCCUGAUGCAGCCAUGCCGCGUGUAUGAAGAAGGCCUUCGGGUUGUAAAGUACUUUCGGCGGGGAGGCGUUACCCGCAGAGAAAGCACCGGCUAACUCCGUGCCAGCAGCCGCGGUAAUUC
rnacentral:rRNA from 1 species